AACGAACGCUGGCGGCAGGCUUAACACGUGCAAGUCGAACGCCCCGCAAGGGGAGUGGCAGACGGGUGAGUAACGCGUGGGAAUCUACCUAGUUCUACGGAACAACUGAGGGAAACUUCAGCUAAUACCGUAUACGCCCUACGGGGGAAAGAUUUAUCGGAAUUAGAUGAGCCCGCGUAAGAUUAGCUAGUUGGUGGGGUAAUGGCCUACCAAGGCGACGAUCUUUAGCUGGUCUGAGAGGAUGAUCAGCCACACUGGGACUGAGACACGGCCCAGACUCCUACGGGAGGCAGCAGUGGGGAAUAUUGGACAAUGGGCGCAAGCCUGAUCCAGCCAUGCCGCGUGAGUGAUGAAGGCCUUAGGGUUGUAAAGCUCUUUCAGUGGGGAAGAUAAUGACGGUACCCACAGAAGAAGCCCCGGCUAACUUCGUGCCAGCAGCCGCAGUAAGAC
rnacentral:rRNA from 1 species